AGGGAAUCUUCCACAAUGGACGCAAGUCUGAUGGAGCAACGCCGCGUGAGUGAAGAAGGCUUUCGGGUCGUAAAACUCUGUUAUUGAAGAAGAACGUGCGUGACAGUAACUGGUCAUGCAGUGACGGUAUUCAAUCAGAAAGUCACGGCUAACUACGUGCCAGCAGCCGCGGUAAUACGUAGGUGGCAAGCGUUGUCCGGAUUUAUUGGGCGUAAAGCGAGUGCAGGCGGUCUUUUAAGUCUGAUGUGAAAGCCUUCGGCUUAACCGAAGAAGGGCAUCGGAAACUGGGAGACUUGAGUGCAGAAGAGGAGAGUGGAACUCCAUGUGUAGCGGUGAAAUGCGUAGAUAUAUGGAAGAACACCAGUGGCGAAGGCGGCUCUCUGGUCUGUAACUGACGCUGAGGCUCGAAAGCGUGGGUAGCAAACAGGAUUA
rnacentral:rRNA from 1 species